AAGCAACGCGAAGAACCUUACCAGGUCUUGACAUCCCGAUGCUAUUUCUAGAGAUAGAAGUUACUUCGGUACAUCGGUGACAGGUGGUGCAUGGUUGUCGUCAGCUCGUGUCGUGAGAUGUUGGGUUAAGUCCCGCAACGAGCGCAACCCCUAUUGUUAGUUGCCAUCAUUCAGUUGGGCACUCUAGCGAGACUGCCGGUAAUAAACCGGAGGAAGUGGGGAUGACGUCAAAUCAUCAUGCCCCUUAUGACCUGGGCUACACACGUGCUACAAUGGUUGGUACAACGAGUUGCGAGUCGGUGACGGCGAGCUAAUCUCUUAAAGCCAAUCUCAGUUCGGAUUGUAGGCUGCAACUCGCCUACAUGAAGUCGGAAUCGCUAGUAAUCGCGGAUCAGCACGCCCGCGGUCGAAUACGUUCCCGGGCCUU
rnacentral:rRNA from 1 species